rnacentral:rRNA from 1 species
GGGUAAUGGCCUACCAAGGCGACGAUCCGUAGCUGGUCUGAGAGGAUGAUCAGCCACACUGGGACUGAGACACGGCCCAGACUCCUACGGGAGGCAGCAGUGGGGAAUAUUGGACAAUGGGCGAAAGCCUGAUCCAGCCAUGCCGCGUGUGUGAAGAAGGCUUUCGGGUUGUAAAGCACUUUCAGUGGGGAAGAAAGCCUGUCGGCUAAUACCCGGCAGGAACGACAUCACCCACAGAAGAAGCACCGGCUAACUCCGUGCCAGCAGCCGCGGUAAUACGGAGGGUGCGAGCGUUAAUCGGAAUUACUGGGCGUAAAGCGCGCGUAGGCGGCGUGAUAAGCCGGUUGUGAAAGCCCCGGGCUCAACCUGGGAACGGCAUCCGGAACUGUCAGGCUAGAGUGCAGGAGAGGAAGGUAGAAUUCCCGGUGUAGCGGUGAAAUGCGUAGAGAUCGGGAGGAAUACCAGUGGCGAAGGCGGCCUUCUGGACUGACACUGACGCUGAGGUGCGAAAGCGUGGGUAGCAAACAGGAUUAGAUACCCUGGUAGUCCACGCCGUAAACGAUGUCGACUAGCCGUUGGGAGCCUCGAGUUCUUAGUGGCGCAGUUAACGCGAUAAGUCGACCGCCUGGGGAGUACGGCCGCAAGGUUAAAACUCAAAUGAAUUGACGGGGGCCCGCACAAGCGGUGGAGCAUGUGGUUUAAUUCGAUGCAACGCGAAGAACCUUACCUACCCUUGACAUCCUCGGAAUCCGCCAGAGAUGGCGGAGUGCCUUCGGGAACCGAGUGACAGGUGCUGCAUGGCUGUCGUCAGCUCGUGUUGUGAAAUGUUGGGUUAAGUCCCGUAACGAGCGCAACCCUUGUCCCUAUUUGCCAGCGAUUCGGUCGGGAACUCUAGGGAGACUGCCGGUGACAAACCGGAGGAAGGUGGGGAGGACGUCAAGUCAUCAUGGCCCUUACGGGUAGGGCUACACACGUGCUACAAUGG